rnacentral:lncRNA from 1 species
UUGAAUUGAAGUCGGAUAUGGGCUAAAUAGGGUUUAUAGGUGUCAAAGGAUAGGUUUAUGAAAGAAGGCUAAUUAUUUGUAUGAGGUUCGGCUAUGAAAGAAAAGGAAACUCAGUGUUUGAAUUUAGAAUGAUAACUUGAGAACAAGAGUGAACCAAUACUUCGUUUGAAGAUUGACCCAAAACUUAUAGGUUCUUAAGUUGAUAGGAGAUGGAUUGGAAAACCUCGACCCACUAUCUAUAAUAGAUA